rnacentral:ncRNA from 1 species
ACUAUGAUCCCAUAGGAUCCGCUAGGCGCCAACGUUCGGAUGAGCCAAACCACUAGCGC